rnacentral:rRNA from 1 species
AGGGUUUGAUCCUGGCUCAGAACGUACGCUGGCGGCACGCCUAACACAUGCAAGUCGAACGAAGUAGCAAUACUUAGUGGCAGACGGGUGAGUAACAUGUAGGUAUCUGCCCUUUGGCCUGGAAUAACACGAGGAAACUUGUGCUAAUACCGGAUAAGUCUUUACGGAGAAAGCUUUAUGCACCAUUGGAUGAGCCUGCACUUGAUUAGUUUGUUGGUGGGGUAAUGGCCUACCAAGACUGUGAUCAAUAGCUGAUUUGAGAGGAUGAUCAGCCACAUUGGGACUGAGACACGGCCCAAACUCCUACGGGAGGCAGCAGUAGGGAAUAUUGCACAAUGGAGGAAACUCUGAUGCAGCGAUGCCGCGUGAGUGAAGAAGGCCCUUGGGUUGUAAAGCUCUUUCGUCGGGGAAGAAAAUGACUGUACCCGAAUAAGAAGGUCCGGCUAACUUCGUGCCAGCAGCCGCGGUAAUACGAAGGGACCUAGCGUAGUUCGGAAUUACUGGGCUUAAAGAGUUCGUAGGUGGUUGAAAAAGUUGGUGGUGAAAUCCCAGAGCUUAACUCUGGAACUGCCAUCAAAACUUUUCAGCUAGAGUUUGAUAGAGGAAAGCAGAAUUUCUAGUGUAGAGGUGAAAUUCGUAGAUAUUAGAAAGAAUACCGAUUGCGAAGGCAGCUUUCUGGAUCAAUACUGACACUGAGGAACGAAAGCAUGGGUAGCGAAGAGGAUUAGAUACCCUCGUAGUCCAUGCCGUAAACGAUGUGUGUUAGAUGUUGGAAAUUUAUUUUCAGUAUCGCAGCGAAAGCGUUAAACACACCGCCUGGGGAGUACGACCGCAAGGUUAAAACUCAAAUGAAUUGACGGGGACCCGCACAAGUAGUGGAGCAUGUGGUUUAAUUCGAAGAUACGCGCAGAACCUUACCAACACUUGACAUGUUUGUCGCGACUUUAAGAGAUUAAAGUCUUCGGUUCGGCCGGACAAAACACAGGUGCUGCAUGGCUGUCGUCAGCUCGUGUCGUGAGAUGUUGGGUUAAGUCCCGCAACGAGCGCAACCCACGUUUUUAGUUGCCAGCAUUUAGUUGGGCACUCUAGAAAGACCGCCGGUGAUAAACCGGAGGAAGGUGUGGAUGACGUCAAGUCAUCAUGCCCCUUACACCCUGGGCUACACACGUACUACAAUGCUACGGACAAAGGGCAGCAAACUCGCGAGAGCUAGCAAAUCCCAUAAACCGUGGCUCAGUUCAGAUCGUAGGCUGCAACUCGCCUACGUGAAGUAGGAAUCGCUAGUAAUCGCAGGUCAGCAUACUGCGGUGAAUACGUUCCCGGGCCUUGUACACACCGCCCGUCACACCAUGGAAGUUGG